GUAUGUACUAGCCUGCCGAUUCCUCCUUCUUGUAGAACCGUAAUGCCAUUAAUUUGGUGUUGCGGGGAAACAGGACUGUUACUUUGAAAAAAUUAGAGUGUUUAAAGCAGGCUAGCGCCUGAAUACAUUAGCAUGGAAUAAUGAAAUAGGACGUUCGAACCUAUUUUGUUGGUUUCUAGGAUUGACGUAAUGAUUAAUAGGGAUAGUUGGGGGCAUUAGUAUUCAAUUGUCAGAGGUGAAAUUCUUGGAUUUAUUGAAGACUGACUACUGCGAAAGCAUUUGCCAAGGAUGUUUUCAUUAAUCAAGAACGAAAGUUAGGGGAUCGAAGACGAUCAGAUACCGUCGUAGUCUUAACCAUAAACUAUGCCGACUAGGGAUCGGAUGAUGUUAAUUUUUUAAUGACUCAUUCGGCGCCUUACG
rnacentral:rRNA from 1 species